CUGGUUGAUCCUGCCAGCGGUGAUAUGCUCAGAUAAAAGAUUAAGCCAUGCAUGUCUAAGAACAUAUGCGUAAGCAUGAAUCUGCGAACGGCUCAUUAUUAACACCCGUAAUCUACCCAGUUUUCGUAUCCUAAACGGAUAUCUGCGUUAAUUUUGGAGCUAAUACGUGCUAAAAGUCACUUCUAGCAAUAGUUGUGCGCACUUAUUAGAUCAAGGCCGACUGGGGCAACCCUUUUGGUGACUCUGAAUAAUUCUGCGGAUCGUGUGGUCUUGUACCGGCGACGUGCUGGUCGAGCGGGUGCCCUAUCAACUAUUGAUGGAAGUCUAUGUGUCUUCCAUGGUUGUAACGGGUAACGGAGAAUAAGGGUUCGACUCCGGAGAGCUAGCCUUAGAAACGGCUAUCACAUCCAAGGAAGGCAGCAGGCGCGUAAAUUACCCAAUCCUGACUCAGGGAGGUAGUGACAAGAAAUAACGGACCGAAGCCUAUGUUUCGGGAUUGCAAUGAGUAGAAUUUAAACCCCUUUACGAGGAUCAAUUGGAGGGCAAGUCUGGU
rnacentral:rRNA from 1 species